rnacentral:rRNA from 1 species
GCUUGUCUCAAAGAUUAAGCCAUGCAUGUGUAAGUAUCAGAAGUCUGAACUUCAAAACUGCGAAUGGCUCAUUAUAUCAGUUAUAGUUUAUUUGAUAGUACCUUACUACUUGGAUAACCGUAGUAAUUCUAGAGCUAAUACAUGCAUAAAUACCCAACUAUGCUUCGGUGUGGACGGGUAGCAUUUAUUAGAUUGAAACCAAUGCGUAGCUUCGGUUGCGGUAUUGAGUUGAAUCAUAAUAACUGUCGUAUCGAGCAAUCGAAGCGCCAUACAAGUUUCUGCCCUAUCAGCUUUGGAUGGUAGGGUAUUGGCCUACCAUGGCUUUAACGGGUAACGGAGAAUUAGGGUUCGAUUCCGGAGAGGGAGCCUGAGAAACGGCUACCACAUCCAAGGAAGGCAGCAGG